UUUCCCCAACUUUCUAGGAUAUCAUGUGAUUGCUAGAUUAUUGAUAUUUAUUUCAUUUGCUUACAAUAUGCAGAUAAAACUUUUGUUUCAAACGGUGUGUUCAUUAGUUAGCUAAGAAAAUUGUAAUCCUUAGUUUUUAUUUCAUGUGUUUAAACAGGUACUGCAUGAUGGAGCAAAGUAGUUGGCUCAGAACGAUCUUAAUUAAUUCUUCAAAGUAUGCUAUAUAAUCCGAUGAAAACAAGAAAUUGGAGGCAGGUUGCAUUAUCCACAUGUCACCAAGGAUCUUGCAAAGGAAAUAGAGACUCUCUGGGAGGAUGCUGUCAUUCAAAUGACAGAUUGAACCUUGAUUGCUUUACCUUAAUCCAUGUACUUAGUUACCUUUUUCUCAUUAAUUACUUAGUAUAUAUGUCUUGUACAAAUUUUUGUUGUAGGAAACAUAUGCCCGUGGUAAUGAGCUCCAAGUUCCUGAUUGUACCAAAUAUUUCAUGGAAAAUUUGCAAAGGCUGUCUGAUGUGAAUUAUGUUCCUACAAAGCCCUGUUGGAGAAAAUAAGAGAAGUGGUGAAGUCUAUAGACUCUUUGAUGUUGGUGGCAAGAGAAAUGAGAGGAGAAAAUGGAUCCAUCUUUUUGAAGGAGUUACACCUGUAAUAUACUGCGCUGCAAUUAGCGAGUAUGAUCAAACACUUUUUGAAGAUGACAGCAAGAACAGAAUGAUGAAACCAAGGAACUUUUUGAAUGGAUACUUAAGCAGCCAUGUUUUGAGGUUUCAUGUACACUCUUCUUAAAUUCUAACAUCUACAUAUUGUCAACUAAGCAUCUGUUUGGAUUGGUUUAUUUGAGCUUAUCGAAUGAUAUAAGUAUUUGGGAGACUGUUUAGGCGAGCUUGUGGAAGCAACUUAUGGCAUGUCCAUAAACAGUUUUCAGCUUAUUUCUAUAAACUCUCCAGAAUAGCUUAUGAAAACAGCUUGGUUUUAUUUUAUUUCUUGUUAUAGAAAUAGCUUAUACAUAAGUACUUAUAUGAUAAGCUCUUAAUUCAGUUGUUUAUCCAAACAGGGCCUGAUUAUUUCUAUGUUUGCUCAUGUAUACCAUGUUAGUAUUGAACAUUUGUAUCUAUAUCAGUGAAUGAUGAUGCCCCUCUCUUUUCUUGACAGAAAACAUCAUUCAUGUUAUUUUUAAACAAGUUUGAUAUAUUUGAGAAAAAGAUCCUCAAGGCAAGAGUCUUCAACACAUAUGUGUACACUUCGUCAUUGAUAUUGAUACGGACAGGGUUCCUACACAAGAAACACUCCACACAAGAUCGUUUUUCGAAGAAAAUAAAAAUAUUGUUUAGCAUAUUUGAUUUUCAGUUGGGAAAAUCUCAAAUCAUGUUAUAAAAUGGGACGCGGCCAUAUAAGGAUAGAUGUUUAUUUUAGGUGAUAUA